AUAUGCCUGCGGAAUACGUGAUAUGGAUUGCAUAAAAGCCAAUGAAUAAUAAGGGAGUCGAGCCAUGGGUGGCGUGCGCGCCGGCCUUGCGUCGGAUACAUAAAGCCCACAAGGUAGAUUCCCACCUGCAGAAUGGCUUUGAAUAAAGUCAAACAUACACGGUUCCCGCGGGCCUUUA
rnacentral:other from 1 species